GACGAACGCUGGCGGCGUGCUUAACACAUGCAAGUCGAACGGAAAGGCCCUGCUUGCAGGGUCCUCGAGUGGCGAACGGGUGAGUAACACGUGGGUGAUCUGCCCUGCACUUCGGGAUAAGCCUGGGAAACUGGGUCUAUUACCGGAUAGUAGCCAUUUUUAGUGUGAUGGUUGGAAAGUUUUUUCGGUGUAGGAUGAGCUCGCGGCCUAUCAGCUUGUUGGUGGGGUAAUGGCCUACCAAGGCGGCGACGGGUAGCUGGCCUGAGAGGGUGGACGGCCACAUUGGGACUGAGGGGCGGCACAGGCUCCUACGGGAGGCAGCAGGGGGGAAUAUUGCACAAGGGGCGCAGGCCUGAUGCAGCAACGCCGCGGGGGGGAUAGCGGCCUUCGGGUUGAAGACUCGUUUCACUAGGGACGAAGCUUUUUGUGACGGUACCUAGAGAAGAAGCACCGGCUAACUACGUG
rnacentral:rRNA from 1 species